rnacentral:siRNA from 1 species
GACAGUGUGGUGGUCCUUCGGGAA